ACGCUCGACACCUACGGGAGGCNGCAGUGGGGGAUAUUGCACAAUGGGGGGAACCCUGAUGCAGCGACGCCGCGUGAGGGAAGAAGGUUUUCGGAUUGGUAAACCUCUGUCCUCAGGGAAGAAGAUGACGGUACCUGAGGAGGAAGCCACGGCUAACUACGUGCUAGCAGCCGCGGUAAUCUGAGCGGGCUGGCAAGGC
rnacentral:rRNA from 1 species